rnacentral:rRNA from 1 species
AUUGAACGCUGGCGGCAUGCCUUACACAUGCAAGUCGAACGGUAACAGGUUAAGCUGACGAGUGGCGAACGGGUGAGUAAUGUAUCGGAACGUGCCCAGUCGUGGGGGAUAACUACUCGAAAGAGUGGCUAAUACCGCAUACGACCUGAGGGUGAAAGCGGGGGACCGUAGGGCCUCGCGCGAUUGGAGCGGCCGAUAUCAGAUUAGCUAGUUGGCGGGGUAAAAGCCCACCAAGGCGACGAUCUGUAGCUGGUCUGAGAGGACGACCAGCCACACUGGGACUGAGACACGGCCCAGACUCCUACGGGAGGCAGCAGUGGGGAAUUUUGGACAAUGGACGAAAGUCUGAUCCAGCCAUGCCGCGUGCGGGAAGAAGGCCUUCGGGUUGUAAACCGCUUUUGUCAGGGAAGAAACGCUCUGGAUUAAUACUCUGGGGUAAUGACGGUACCUGAAGAAUAAGCACCGGCUAACUACGUGCCAGCAGCCGCCGCCGUAA